ACGAGAUCAACUCAAAACCGUACUCACCCCGAUUUUCUCAAAAAAGACUGGCCCUAACCGAGACUAGCUCAAGCUAAUUUGCUCGUCUUACCUAUAUCCAUCACACUACACCACACGCACCCCGAUACAUGCAUACAGCUCCAAAUUACUCUAAGGCGACAUCCACGUCUAUUUUUUCAAAUAAGAAAAUGCAGCAUAAUGCGUGCCUAAUAUUUAACUGCAUACAUAUAUUUAUAUGUGAUGUAUGAGCAUGUCUUGAAUAUAUAAUAAUAUUAAAAUUAUAAUUAACAUCAAUAUUUUACUCACAGACGUAAAUCGAGGUCACUGUGAUGGCUGGGCGGAGGAGGAAGGCUAUCCCAGCUCACCUGACAAUUAUAUUACAA
rnacentral:misc_RNA from 1 species